AAGAACUAAUACAUUGAUUACCACACAGAUUGGAAAUGUUUGCAAAGUAAAUAAUCUUCUUUAUACAUUAAAACAGAGGAAGUGUCUCUAGAGAUGAUGAUGACAUGUUUUAUUGUCUUUCAUUUUGAGUAGGAUGUGAUGGCAUAGAGA